GACGAACGCUGGCGGCGUGCUUAACACAUGCAAGUCGAACGGAAAGGCCCUGCUUUUGUGGGGUGCUCGAGUGGCGAACGGGUGAGUAACACGUGAGUAACCUGCCCUUGACUUUGGGAUAACUUCAGGAAACUGGGGCUAAUACCGGAUAGGAGCUCCUGCUGCAUGGUGGGGGUUGGAAAGUUUCGGCGGUUGGGGAUGGACUGGCGGCUUAUCAGCUUGUUGGUGGGGGAGUGGCUUACCAAGGCUUUGACGGGUAGCCGGCCUGAGAGGGUGACCGGCCACAUUGGGACUGAGAUACGGCCCAGACUCCUACGGGAGACAGCAGUGGGGAAUAUUGCACAAUGGGCGGAAGCCUGAUGCAGCAACGCCGCGUGCGGGAUGACGGCCUUCGGGUUGUAAACCGCUUUCGCCUGUGACGAAGCGUGAGUGACGGUAAUGGGUAAAGAAGCACCGGCUAACUACGUG
rnacentral:rRNA from 1 species